rnacentral:rRNA from 1 species
AGUGAACGCUGGCGGUAGGCCUAACACAUGCAAGUCGAACGGCAGCACAGUAAGAGCUUGCUCUUACGGGUGGCGAGUGGCGGACGGGUGAGGAAUACAUCGGAAUCUACUUUUUCGUGAGGGAUAACGUAGGGAAACUUACGCUAAUACCGCAUACGACCUACGGGUGAAAGCAGGGGAUCUUCGGACCUUGCGCGAUUGAAUGAGCCGAUGUCGGAUUAGCUAGUUGGCGGGGUAAAGGCCCACCAAGGCGACGAUCCGUAGCUGGUCUGAGAGGAUGAUCAGCCACACUGGAACUGAGACACGGUCCAGACUCCUACGGGAGGCAGCAGUGGGGAAUAUUGCACAAUGGGCGCAAGCCUGAUCCAGCCAUACCGCGUGGGUGAAGAAGGCCUUCGGGUUGUAAAGCCCUUUUGUUGGGAAAGAAAAGCAGCAGGUUAAUACCCCGCUGUUCUGACGGUACCCAAAGAAUAAGCACCGGCUAACUUCGUG